GACGAACGCUGGCGGCGUGCUUAACACAUGCAAGUCGAGCGGUAAGGCCCUUUCGGGGGUACACGAGCGGCGAACGGGUGAGUAACACGUGGGUGACCUGCCUUUAGCUCUGGGAUAAGCCUGGGAAACCGGGUCUAAUACCGGAUACGACUCCGCGGUGCAUGCUGUGGGGUGGAAAGCCUUGUGCGGCUGGAGAUGGGCCCGCGGCCUAUCAGCUUGUUGGUGGGGUGAUGGCCUACCAAGGCGACGACGGGUAGCCGGCCUGAGAGGGCGACCGGCCACACUGGGACUGAGACACGGCCCAGACUCCUACGGGAGGCAGCAGUGGGGAAUCUUGCGCAAUGGGCGAAAGCCUGACGUAGCGACGCCGCGUGAGGGAUGACGGCCUCGGUU
rnacentral:rRNA from 1 species